CAGUAGCCACGGGAAAACAGAGGGUGCAAGCGUUAAUCGGAAUUACUGGGCGUAAAGCGCGCGUAGGUGGUUUGUUAAGUUGGAUGUGAAAUCCCCGGGCUCAACCUGGGAACUGCAUCCAAAACUGGCAGGCUAGAGUAGGGCAGAGGGUGGUGGAAUUUCCUGUGUAGCGGUGAAAUGCGUAGAUAUAGGAAGGAACACCAGUGGCGAAGGCGACCACCUGGGCUCAUACUGACACUGAGGUGCGAAAGCGUGGGGAGCAAACAGGAUUAGAUACCCCAGUAGUCCCUGUCUCUUAUAC
rnacentral:rRNA from 1 species